CUAAUACAAAUUCAAAGACUGCACUGCAUUCCAAGCGGCUCUGUAAACCCUCUGGCCACUGUAAUGUACAGAAUCUGUCUGUCCAUUUCCCCAAAAACAAAUAUAUUUCUUCGAUUUCACACUCCAAAUUCAAAACCAAGUUGUACAACACAAACCCAUUUGGUUGUUUUUUUAUCAGAAAGCAGAAUAACUCAAAGUUUUAAGUUGCAAACAACUGGUCACAGUACUACUGUAGUAGUAAACUUGCUCAUUUUUUCUCUUCAUUUUCCUUUCAAAAACCAUUGUUAAAACACUCUUAACAAUGCUCGGAGCCAAAUCCCAAGCAACUUAAUCAAUUGGAGAUACAGUGAGCAUUUUGGGUUUGUUCUGUUCUUGGUGUUUUUGUGUGUGUUUAUUUUAUGAAUCUUGAUGUUUAAUGAAGUUUUAGAUUCUUUGAAAGUUGAUGAACCCAUUUAAAGAUUUGAGAUUUUUGGUUUAUUAGCAUAAAAAAGGCAACUUUUUGAAUAUUUGUUUAAUCACUGUCAAGGUUUAAGGCAUUUGACCCGGAAUCUUGUUUCUUGGUUAUGCAUUUUUAUAUACUAUUUGUAAAAUCUGAGUAUUUAUCUCUUUAAUAUAUCAGUUAUAGAUCUUUCUUAGUUUAGGGUUUUAAUCUCUGUUCAAGUGAAUGGAGUAUGCCAUUGUUAAACCCUCUUCAAACAUAUCUGAAAUGGUCACUAAGUUUGCUAAACUUUGCAAACUAAGAUCUAUUGGCGUUUUCUCGAACGAAAACCCAAAUCAGCAAUGUAAUUCUCUCCGUGACAACAAUGUGGCAUCGGUUAGUGAAGAUAGCAGUGAUGCUACAGUGGAAAUAGAAUGUGAUACGGAGAAAAUUGGAACGUAUCCUCCUGUAGUUCUGACUAUGAGGGACAUAGAUAUUGAGGGAGACUAUAUUAUUCAGUUAUUUGAUGCGGUUUCUGAGUUGAAAUUAGCUUACAUUCAGCUUCAGGAAGCUCAUGUUCCUUAUAAUGCGGAUAAGAUUAUUGCUGCUGAUGAACAGAUUGUGUUUAAGCUCGAAGCUCUUUGUAAGAUCAAGCGGACAUACAAGGAGAAGCGAUUCUCGAAUGUAAAUCUUGAGUCUUCCCAUUUUAGUCUACUGGAUACAGAGAGUCUGUUAGAGAAACUGAAGACUCAGAGUCGAGCACAAGAUGAUGAGAUUGUUCGUUUGCGACAAGAGCUACACAAUUUUCUUUUGGGGAAUACGGUAUUGGCAGAGAAGAUACGGCAGAAAAGUUUGGAAAUAAAAAAUGUGAGGGUUUUGAAUAUUUCCUUGUUUGAGAAUAUGUUCAGAGAAGCAUCGAAGUCUAUUCAUGAUUUUGCAAAGCCUGUGAUAAGUUUGAUGAAAGCUUCAGGUUGGGACUUGGAUAUGGCAGCUAAUUCCAUAGAAAGUGGAGUUGUUUAUUUCAAAAGGCAGCAUAAGAAGUAUGCAUUUGAAGCCUACGUUGCACGGAGAAUGUUUCAUGGGAUAUCACUUAAAUCCUAUAAUGUGGAUGAUGUUAUGCGGUUUGAUGAUCCCAUUGAUUAUCUGAUAGAAAAUCCCAAUUCAGAAUUUUCCACUUUUUGCGGAAACAAGUAUUUGUUUGCGGUUCAUCCUGUAAUGGAGAUGUCUUUCUUUGGCAAUUUGGACCAGAGGUUGUUUAUAUUAAGUGGCAAGCAUCCAAGAACACCAUUCUAUCAAAUAUUUGCAAGAAUGGCAAAGUGGAUAUGGGCUCUACAAGGGAUUGCAAGGUCAGUUGAUCCCAAGGCUGAAAUUUAUGUUGUUAAUAGAGGAAGCAAAUUCUCAGAUGUUUUUAUGGAACCUAUAGAAGCCGACAUUCUUAAUGGAGGACAAGCUGAUCCCAGAGUUGAGUUUAUGGUCAUGCCUGGUUUUAGAUUAGCUGACUCAUUGAUGCGGUCUCGGGUUUAUCUUUCUUGUUAGGGGGAAGUGCUGUAGGAACUAUAGCAUUGCAAAGGUAAUCAUUAAUUGUUUUGAGUAUGUCAAUACGUUGCCUAAAUUAGUUUGAGAGCUAAUAUUUUGGUAGUAGAGAUCAUACGUGAUCAUGCUGCCAAUACUUACCUGUUUAAAGCUGCAAGAUUUUGUUGUAUGCUUUUUGAAUUGUAAAUAGAUAUCUCUACGUGAUGAUGCUGUUCGAUUUUGUUUUACACUUUCUGUGUAUCGACUUUACUGCUUGUGAUUUAAGUAUAAUCUUCAAGCUAAGAAAAUGUGUUGGAAUAAACUGUUAAUUACAUGUAGAGCUUAUUUUAUCCUCUUGCCUAAUGAUCUUGAAGAACAAUGACAUAUAGUAAUCUUAUUUAGUAGGAUGGUCGGAGACUUGCUGUAUCCUGUUUGUAAUUUUAUUGUUUGCUGGCCUUGUAGUGCUUAGAAAGUGUUUAGAUGUUUCUGUCUUUUGAUUCAGAUGGUUUAGAGGUUUUCUACUAUUUUAGAUCAACCAAAAUAUAAGAUUUCUAUUUAUGGGAAUAUAUACAACCUAUUGCAAUUUGCUUGUGGUUAAGGAUUGACCUAAAUAGAGUUGAGUAAUUUAUACUCCUCUAGACAUAGAAGCACAUAAAAUUUUACGAUCUCUUUGGUUUAAAAUCAGGAAUAGGAAUAGGAACGAGAAUCUAAAUGGGAAUAGGAAUGCUUAAUUUCAUAUGUUGUUCGGUUGAGUAGGAAAUGGAAAUGGAAAUCAAAGAAAAAUGAGAAUGUAGAUGAUUUAUUUGGAUGAGAACGAGAACGAAUGUUAUUUAUUAAGCGAAGGGAUCCCAUUUCUUUUCCCAUUCUCAUGCACUUCAACCAAUCACAAACAACAAAAACCAUAACUGUUCCAAUUUUUAUCACUUUCAUAAUUAUUAGAACAAUGCCCUCUUGGUUUUUCAAUUUUCCGCUCGUACUUCAUGCGACUGAGAUUCUAGUCUUGCUAGUGUUGUUUUAUCAUUGAGUUUACAAAAUGACAGUUUUAGAAACUAAAGAGGUAGAUGGUUAGACAUGAUUUCAGUUUUAUAUUUUUAUCUUACAUUUUAUCUAGGGGUGUUUAUAUAGCCACCCCAAUUAGUUUAGGAUAAGGUGUUAGCUGAGUUGAGUUUUAAUUUCUUUUCCAGACACAGAGCUAUAUUGAAUUUAAGGUUUCAUUUUCCCUCCAUGCUCGUUUUCCACUCUUAAUUUGUGGAACCGAGAUUCCGGUCUUGCCAGUACAAGUAUUAUUGAGUGUGCUGUUGAAUGGGGAGUAAGGGGGAGCUCCGCUUCCUUAGAAAUUUGACCCAAAUCUUCUUUCUCCUGCGAAAUGCUGAAAAAGUAAGUCACCGGAGGAAGUAGAAUCAUUUGGCGCUAUAAUCAAUGUCAUUGUCAUCCUCCGGAGAAAACAGGUCCUUGCAUAGCUCCCCGUAGAAUCUACACACCACAUCGACAAAGACUGGGCACUUCAGAUUCUUCCAGCAAUACAGAAGCUCCUCAACAUCUAUCAGAUCCCUCACUUUUCCUUCUUCAACAAUCAUAUCCACCAAAUAGUUCUCAAAGCUUCUGCACGCAUCUUCCACAUCCUGGUCGCCGCCAAAGCUCUCUCUCAUGGCGGUUCUACUGGCUGUAAUGUAUGCUGGUGUUAGAGGUGACGUGUAGAUCCUUUUCUCGCGCUCUACUUCAGGAACACUCUUAAGCUCCCCAAGUACGUCCAUCUUCCUCGAUUUCUUAUGGAAAACUGAAUGCAGGGCAGUAAGAAUACGAUUCUUGGUAGAAGUUUUUCUCGUCUUACUACGGUGAGUACGCGAUGCAAGAGAUCUUAUAAAGAGAGGUUUUCUGAGUUUGAAUCUGAAGGUUAGUAGUUUUCUGCAUGGGGUUAGAAGCUUGGAUUUGAAGGCAACUAAUGCUUUCAUUUUCAUUUGUAAUGAUUUGGGAAUUGAGUGUGGUUGAAGAAAUUGAACAGAAUUGAUUGGUUUCUGUUGCUGCUUUUAAAAUAGUUGAGACAAAAGAAUUGGAAUGUAGAGAAGUAAAUAAAUAUGAGAGUUUGGUGUGGCAUUGAGAGAGAGACUGAGUGGAGUUUGUUGACGAAGAUGCAUAGCUUUGUUGGGUUCACGUCUUGAAUUCAGGAGAGUGGCAUCCCAUUAACUAUACUAAUACCUGACAUUCUUAUCUAAAAUUUCUAUAUGCAUUUUGUUUAUUGAUAUUAUUUCUUUUUAUUUUUUAUAUCGCUUUAUUCUCAUUAAAUGUAAUAAAUAUCUAAAAAUAUUCAUUUUUUGUUUGAUUGGUUAAAAUUUAUCGGUGAUGCAUAAUAUUAAAUUUAA